CCCGCUUCCCACUGGCGAGAGGCUGGAGGUGGUGAAGGAGUCGGGGAGCGGAGGCGGGGGGGGUGUCUGCCUUUUAACCCUCCCCAAGAGGUCGUGCCUCUGAGCCCCAAAGCUGAAGGCCCCUCUUGGGGGUGGGUGCGGGCCGGAGGGGCCCGAUCCUUUCAGAGCCGGGCCGAGGUGAAGGAAAAGAAGGAAGUAAGUGAACGCAGGGGGAAGGGGAGAGGAAGAAGAGAUGACGGUACAAAAAUAGCGUGUGUGUAGGAAGGACUUCGGUGCCGCCUGGAAAAGAGGCGCGGGGAGGAGAGGGAGCGAGAAGGGGGCUGUGGCGCGGAACCAGAGGGGAAGGGUCGCGGCCCUUCCCAGGGAGGUGGAAGCCCCCUGGCCAGGUGUCUCGGUGGUGGAGGGCGGAUUGAGGGGGUGGGGAGGCCCAGGCCGGGGCGUGUGUGGGAGAGCGGGGCCCUGAAGGCCUGGGUUCCAGGAGAAGGACAAGCCCUGAGGAAGAUGAGGGGAAGGGGAGCCGGGGCCAGAGGCCUGGAGUUGGAGAGGACAGAACCCCGGUUUUCCUGGAGGGAACGCCGUUCCUGUAGUAGCCAGGCAAGAAGAGCCAUUUGGAGUUAGAGGUCUCAGCUGUGAAGCCAGAACAAUAAAAAUAAAAACAGCGCGGACUCCUGGGCAGCCUGGACCAGGGAACCAACUGCCCCAAGAGUUGCUGCUCACCAGGCUGGAAGAUGAGAAAACUGAGGUCCAGAUAAGCUGAGUCAUCCAAAGUCUCACAGCUACCAUGUGAACUGAGCCAGGAUUUGAACCCAGGCAUUCUGCCUCCAGAGCCCAGGCUGUUAACUGCUACAUUAUGCUGGACACGCUGCACCUGCC
rnacentral:lncRNA from 1 species